ACAGAGGGUGCGAGCGUUAAUCGGAAUUUCUGGGCGUAAAGCGUGCGUAGACGGCUAUCUAAGUCGGGUGUGAAAGCCCCGGGCUCAACCUGGGAAUUGCAUUCGAGACUGAAUAGCUAGGGUGCGGUAGAGGGAAGCGGAAUUUCCGGUGUAGCGGUGAAAUGCGUAGAGAUCGGGAGGAACACCAGUGGCGAAGGCGACUACCUGGACCAGCACUGACACUGAGGCACGAAAGCGUGGGGAGCAAACAGGA
rnacentral:rRNA from 1 species